GAGGUCGACAGGCGCCUCUCUUAAUAGAUUCGGAUGAGUGCACCUAUUGUAGAUCCCCCCCUUUCUUUUCGAUUGGGGGGACAACAUGAUCUAUGUCAUCUUUACACACACACACUAUGUAUGGCCAGAAUGAUAUAAAUAUAUACAACUUUCAACAAUGGAUCUCUUGGCUCUCGCAUCGAUGAAGAACGCAGCGAAAUGCGAUAAGUAAUGUGAAUUGCAGAUUUCUCGUGAAUCAUCGAAUCUUUGAACGCACCUUGCGCCGCUUGGUAUUCCAAGAGGCAUGCCUGUUUGAGUGUCAUUAACAUCAUCAACCAUUUCUCUUCAUUGAGCAAAUGGCUUGGACUUGGGGGUUGCCGGGGGAGACCUUUGAUGGUGAUCGGCUCCCCUUAAAUGCAUUAGCGAUCGACCCUUGGCCUCAUCUUUGACAUGGACGGUCUUUGACGUGAUAAUGAUCGUUGAAGCCGAAAAUGUCAAGAAGUCAAGACUAUCGCUUCUAAUCAGACAUUAGCUCAGUUACUAGGCAGUCUGGAGACAGACUGGCGAACACGAGCAAGGUCGGAAGUGAUUCGUUUUAGCUAUUAGGCAGUCUGGG
rnacentral:rRNA from 1 species